AGAGUUUGAUCCUGGCUCAGGAUGAACGCUGGCGGCUUGCCUAAUACAGGCAAGGCGAGCGAACGGAGGAGAAGCUUGCUUCUCUUAUGUUAGCGGCGGACGGGUGAGUAACACGUGGAUAACCUACCUAUAAGACUGGGAUAACUUCGGGAAACCGGAGCUAAUACCGGAUAAUAUUUUGAACCGCAUGGUUCAAAAGUGAAAGACGGUCUUGCUGUCACUUAUAGAUGGAUCCGCGCUGCAUUAGCUAGUUGGUAAGGUAACGGCUUACCAAGGCAACGAUGCAUAGCCGACCUGAGAGGGUGAUCGGCCACACUGGAACUGAGACACGGUCCAGACUCCUACGGGAGGCAGCAGUAGGGAAUCUUCCGCAAUGGGCGAAAGCCUGACGGAGCAACGCCGCGUGAGUGAUGAAGGUCUUCGGAUCGUAAAACUCUGUUAUUAGGGAAGAACAUAUGUGUAAGUAACUGUGCACAUCUUGACGGUACCUAAUCAGAAAGCCACGGCUAACUACGUGCCAGCAGCCGCGGUAAUACGUAGGUGGCAAGCGUUAUCCGGAAUUAUUGGGCGUAAAGCGCGCGUAGGCGGUUUUUUAAGUCUGAUGUGAAAGCCCACGGCUCAACCGUGGAGGGUCAUUGGAAACUGGAAAACUUGAGUGCAGAAGAGGAAAGUGGAAUUCCAUGUGUAGCGGUGAAAUGCGCAGAGAUAUGGAGGAACACCAGUGGCGAAGGCGACUUUCUGGUCUGUAACUGACGCUGAUGUGCGAAAGCGUGGGGAUCAAACAGGAUUAGAUACCCUGGUAGUCCACGCCGUAAACGAUGAGUGCUAAGUGUUAGGGGGUUUCCGCCCCUUAGUGCUGCAGCUAACGCAUUAAGCACUCCGCCUGGGGAGUACGACCGCAAGGUUGAAACUCAAAGGAAUUGACGGGGACCCGCACAAGCGGUGGAGCAUGUGGUUUAAUUCGAAGCAACGCGAAGAACCUUACCAAAUCUUGACAUCCUUUGACAACUCUAGAGAUAGAGCCUUCCCCUUCGGGGGACAAAGUGACAGGUGGUGCAUGGUUGUCGUCAGCUCGUGUCGUGAGAUGUUGGGUUAAGUCCCGCAACGAGCGCAACCCUUAAGCUUAGUUGCCAUCAUUAAGUUGGGCACUCUAAGUUGACUGCCGGUGACAAACCGGAGGAAGGUGGGGAUGACGUCAAAUCAUCAUGCCCCUUAUGAUUUGGGCUACACACGUGCUACAAUGGACAAUACAAAGGGCAGCGAAACCGCGAGGUCAAGCAAAUCCCAUAAAGUUGUUCUCAGUUCGGAUUGUAGUCUGCAACUCGACUACAUGAAGCUGGAAUCGCUAGUAAUCGUAGAUCAGCAUGCUACGGUGAAUACGUUCCCGGGUCUUGUACACACCGCCCGUCACACCACGAGAGUUUGUAACACCCGAAGCCGGUGGAGUAACCUUUUAGGAGCUAGCCGUCGAAGGUGGGACAAAUGAUUGGGGUGAAGUCGUAACAAGGUAGCCGUAUCGGAAGGUGCGGCUG
rnacentral:rRNA from 1 species